GUGAACGCUGGCGGCAGGCCUAAUACAUGCAAGUCGAACGGCAGCACAGCAGAGCUUGCUCUGUGGGUGGCGAGUGGCGGACGGGUGAGGAAUACAUGGGAAUCUGCCCAGUCGUGGGGGAUAACGUAUGGAAACGUACGCUAAUACCGCAUGCGCCCUUUGGGGGAAAGCCGGGGACCUUCGGGCCUGGCGCGAUUGGAUGAGCCCAUGUUCGAUUAGCUAGUUGGCGGGGUAAAGGCCCACCAAGGCGACGAUCGAUAGCUGGUCUGAGAGGAUGAUCAGCCACACUGGGACUGAGACACGGCCCAGACUCCUACGGGAGGCAGCAGUAGGGAAUAUUGGACAAUGGGCGCAAGCCUGAUCCAGCCAUGCCGCGUGAGUGAAGAAGGCCCUCGGGUUGUAAAGCUCUUUUGUUGGGGAA
rnacentral:rRNA from 1 species